GGGGAAAAUGCGAUUGUAGUAGUGAGGAGUGGUUAUUAAUGGGUCCACAUUAUUAAACACUUGGAAUCUCCAGUUCAACUCGUUUGAUGUCGAGAUUAUAUGCGGGUGGCUUUACUUUCGAUACGAGAUGGCCGACUCGCCAAUGAGGUGAAUAGGCCAAAACCGUUUAUGAGACGUCUGAUACAGCCCAUUGCCUUUAAUGAUACCAGGAAAUCAACCUAUGCCUAUGGUUUUACAAGAUAUGGAUUGAAAGGAAAGAGCAGUUGGAGGAGGGAUAUUGACCGAGCGCUUCAUGCACGUGGCAAUUUUGAAUGGACCACCGGCUCUUCCUGGCUUUCCAGUAAAAUCUGAAGGUACGCUGAAAGCGAGAAUCGUCUCCUCCGUACUGCCGAAGUCUCGUCGGUGGUACAUGCACGCAGAUCCUGUCCCCUAUUUUUUUAAAGAACAUAUUUGAAUCCAACUCUUUCCCAGCGAGAUUUGCUGGAUCUAUUCGAGGUUUGGUAUUGUGUAACUAGCAAA